AGGUGUGAUCAUACCAGCGUUAAUGCACCGGAUCCCAUCAUAAAUCCGCAGUUAAGCAUGCUUGGGCUAGAGUAGUACUGGGAUGGGUGACCUCCCAGAAAUUCCUAGUGUUGCACCCU
rnacentral:rRNA from 1 species